UACGUAGGUGACAAGCGUUGUCCGGAUUUACUGGGCGUAAAGAGCGCGCAGGCGGUCGAUCAAGUCGAGUGUGAAAGCCCCCGGCUCAACUGGGGAGGGUCAUUCGAUACUGAUCGACUCGAAGGCAGGAGAGGGUAGUGGAAUUCCCGGUGUAGUGGUGAAAUGCGUAGAGAUCCGGAGGAACCCCAGAGGCGAAGGCGGCAUCCUGGCCCACGACUGACACUCAGACACGACAGCAUGGGGAGCGAACGGG
rnacentral:rRNA from 1 species